UACGUAGGGGGCGAGCGUUGUCCGGAUUCAUUGGGCGUAAAGGGCUCGUAGGCGGUUUGUUGCGUCGGGAGUGAAAACUUACAGCUUAACUGUGAGCGUGCUUCCGAUACGGGCAGACUUGAGGUAUUCAGGGGAGAACGGAAUUCCUGGUGUAGCGGUGAAAUGCGCAGAUAUCAGGAGGAACACCGGUGGCGAAGGCGGUUCUCUGGGAAUAUCCUGACGCUGAGGAGCGAAAGUGUGGGGAGCGAACAGG
rnacentral:rRNA from 1 species